rnacentral:rRNA from 2 species
CACGCCCUAAACGAUGAUAACUCGCUGUUGGCGAUAUACUGUCAGCAGCCAAGCGAAAGCAUUAAGUUAUCCACCUGGGGAGUACGACCGCAAGGUUGAAACUCAAAGGAAUUGACGGGGGCCCGCACAAGCGGAGGAGCAUGUGGUUUAAUUCGAUGAUACGCGAGGAACCUUACCUGGGCUUGAAAGUUAGCGACCGACUCCGAAAAGAGUCUUUCAGAAAUGACGCGAAACUAGGUGC